GGGUUGUGAGGUUAAGCGACUAAGCGUACACGGUGGAUGCCCUGGCAGUCAGAGGCGAUGAAGGGCGUGCUAAUCUGCGAUAAGCGCCGGUAAGGUGAUAUGAACCGUUAUAACCGGCGAUACCCGAAUGGGGAAACCCAGUGUGAUUCGUCACACUAUCAUUAACUGAAUCCAUAGGUUAAUGAGGCGAACCGGGGGAACUGAAACAUCUAAGUACCCCGAGGAAAAGAAAUCAACCGAGAUUCCCCCAGUAGCGGCGAGCGAACGGGGAGGAGCCCAGAGCCUGAAUCAGCAUGUGUGUUAGUGGAAGCGUCUGGAAAGGCGCGCGAUACAGGGUGACAGCCCCGUACACAAAAGCGCAUGUGCUGUGAGCUCGAUGAGUAGGGCGGGACACGUGGUAUCCUGUCUGAAUAUGGGGGGACCAUCCUCCAAGGCUAAAUACUCCUGACUGACCGAUAGUGAACCAGUACCGUGAGGGAAAGGCGAAAAGAACCCCGGCGAGGGGAGUGAAAAAGAACCUGAAACCGUGUACGUACAAGCAGUGGGAGCACAGGUUUACCUGUGUGACUGCGUACCUUUUGUAUAAUGGGUCAGCGACUUAUAUUCUGUAGCAAGGUUAACCGAAUAGGGGAGCCGGAGGGAAACCGAGUCUUAAUUGGGCGUUAAGUUGCAGGGUAUAGACCCGAAACCCGGUGAUCUAGCCAUGGGCAGGUUGAAGGUUGGGUAACACUAACUGGAGGACCGAACCGACUAAUGUUGAAAAAUUAGCGGAUGACCUGUGGCUGGGGGUGAAAGGCCAAUCAAACCGGGAGAUAGCUGGUUCUCCCCGAAAGCUAUUUAGGUAGCGCCUCGUGAAUUCAUCUCCGGGGGUAGAGCACUGUUUCGGCUAGGGGGCCAUCCCGGCUUACCAACCCGAUGCAAACUGCGAAUACCGGAGAAUGUUAUCACGGGAGACACACGGCGGGUGCUAACGUCCGUCGUGAAGAGGGAAACAACCCAGACCGCCAGCUAAGGUCCCAAAGUCAUGGUUAAGUGGGAAACGAUGUGGGAAGGCCCAGACAGCCAGGAUGUUGGCUUAGAAGCAGCCAUCAUUUAAAGAAAGCGUAAUAGCUCACUGGUCGAGUCGGCCUGCGCGGAAGAUGUAACGGGGCUAAACCAUGCACCGAAGCUGCGGCAGCGACACUCAGGUGUUGUUGGGUAGGGGAGCGUUCUGUAAGCCUGUGAAGGUGGCCUGUGAGGGUUGCUGGAGGUAUCAGAAGUGCGAAUGCUGACAUAAGUAACGAUAAAGCGGGUGAAAAGCCCGCUCGCCGGAAGACCAAGGGUUCCUGUCCAACGUUAAUCGGGGCAGGGUGAGUCGACCCCUAAGGCGAGGCCGAAAGGCGUAGUCGAUGGGAAACGGGUUAAUAUUCCCGUACUUGGUGUUACUGCGAAGGGGGGACGGAGAAGGCUAUGUUGGCCGGGCGACGGUU
rnacentral:rRNA from 1 species